CCAGACACGAGAGAUCUCCGCAUCUAUUCUUAUUGCAUCAUUAGUAAAUUAUGAGCUGGACUGGAUAUCUCAGAUAUUGGAGUAUUGUGCUUAAUAAUGCUGACAACACAAGUUCAAUCCCUGGACUAGGUGAGGUAGUUUUUGGGGAUGUCCCCUACAUGUGAUAUCCUAGCACAUUCAGCCAUGUUUAGCGGCCCUCAGAAAACCAAGGCUGCAAUAUGAGGAAAAAGCUGACACAGGUCGAUCGAUUGGUUCUGGGCAGGAAUGAAUUUGCAGAGCUGGGCAAUACAGCUCCCAGAUCUACAGAGGCACAAAGAGAAAUGAAGUCCUCACAAUCUAACACAUCAAUCAUCUAUUUGGCUGCAAACUACUUGUUAACUAUUUAGCUCAAAGUAUUUACAAUACAAUUACUUAAUGUGGAUCAGCAGUGUGUCUUGGAUAUGUGAUACAGUCUACUGUGAGUCUGGCUGGUUUCUGUGGUGGAAGUUAUCUGGCAACUUUACCUUCAGGAAUCUGCAUGUUAUGUAUCAAUAAAAUAUUUUUAU